GACGAACGCUGGCGGCGUGCCUAAUACAUGCAAGUAGAACGCUGAAGGAGGAGCUUGCUUCUCUGGAUGAGUUGCGAACGGGUGAGUAACGCGUAGGUAACCUGCCUGGUAGCGGGGGAUAACUAUUGGAAACGAUAGCUAAUACCGCAUAAGAGUAGAUGUUGCAUGACAUUUGCUUAAAAGGUGCAAUUGCAUCACUACCAGAUGGACCUGCGUUGUAUUAGCUAGUUGGUGGGGUAACGGCUCACCAAGGCGACGAUACAUAGCCGACCUGAGAGGGGGAUCGGCCACACUUGGACUGAGACACGGCCCAGACUCCUACGGGAGGCAGCAGUAGGGAAUCUUCGGCAAUGGACGGAAGUCUGACCGAGCAACGCCGCGUGAGUGAAGAAGGUUUUCGGAUCGUAAAGCUCUGUUGUAAGAGAAGAACGAGUGUGAGAGUGGAAAGUUCACACUGUGACGGUAUCUUACCAGAAAGGGACGGCUAACUACGUG
rnacentral:rRNA from 1 species